GCAGAAAUUACGUACACAUGUGUAGGUAACAACUAGAAAUUUAUUAAGGGACACAUGUUUUUUUCUGAACCUUUUCUUGCGAUUCUCUAGCAAAAAAAAAACCCCACAACUCUAGCCCAACGCCGUAAAAGGAACCACCUCUGCCUUUGCGUCGCGGCUGAGCUAAGCCGGAGGGCAGGAGAGGCCUGACUUAGGGAUCAGGAAGAAAGAGCGAAGGAAGGGUGGGGGCAGGGCGGGGGACAGUGACGCGACCAGUGAAAGCCGGAAGUGAGUGGCUAGCGCGGCACCCCGGGGCGCCCUGUCCGGUGGCGCUCUAGCUCCCGCGCGCUUUCUCUCUAUGAUCCCGGCGUCUUGUCUAUUUAUUGUCGCCGGGAAGCCGCGGCCGCCUCGUACCCGGAACAACAAAGCUCGAAAGACGGAGCCCGAGACUCGGGGGCUCCUAGCAACGGGCCGGGGCGGGAAUUCCAUGGAGACUGGGGAGCGCGCCCGCCUCAUCAUCAUCCUCUUCCUCCAGCUUAUCCUUCGUUUCCGACGCAACCGGCAGCACCGCUGCCGCCGCGUCCUCUGCCACCGCCCCCUCUUCCCACGGUAA